UACGGAGGAUGCGAGCGUUAUCCGGAUUUAUUGGGUUUAAAGGGUGCGUAGGCGGGUUAUCAAGUCAGCGGUAAAAUACGGGGGCUCAACCUCCGCCCGCCGUUGAAACUGACGGUCUUGAGUGGGCGAGAAGUAUGCGGAAUGCGUGGUGUAGCGGUGAAAUGCAUAGAUAUCACGCAGAACGCCGAUUGCGAAGGCAGCAUACCGGCGCCCGACUGACGCUGAGGCACGAAAGUGCGGGUAUCGAACAGG
rnacentral:rRNA from 1 species